rnacentral:lncRNA from 1 species
AGAAAUUAAAAAUUAAUUAAUCUGUCGCUGAAGGUCUUUAGCGACAGUAACCGUUGCUGUUGGUGUUCUUGAGCUCAAGAACACUGACAACUUCGUGUUCAUGAUUGCUCGUUUGACCAGCCAUGAUUCGCAGCUCAGGCAUGUUCAGGGUAUGUUUAAACGUUAAUAUUGUAGUAAGUAUGCACCACUACAAUAAACAACCACUAUAUAAGUCAUACAACAACACAAGAUGAAGAUCUAGGCUAGCAAAUAUGUUGUCAGAACCAAGUCUGGGUUUUCUGGGUAACCCAGAAACCCAACAGCUUCGAGGGACUACUUUUGAGCUCGAUUAUUUAUAUGUUCUGUUCUUAAUUCAUGUUGUUUGAUGGUUCAAACUUAGAGUCCAUGUGUCAAUGAACAUAAAUACAACAAUAUUACAGUUCAACAACAUCUAAAUCUCCAGAAUCAGUACGGUCAAACUAUGUCAGAACGUUUGUUCUAACUGCUUCUGGGUUUUCCAGAAAAAUCAAUCCGUGGCCGUGGGGCCGGGUUUGACCACUGACUAUGUCCGAUCACUUGAUGCUAUAAAUGAUCUAAAACCAUAGAAUCAAAGAACAUAUAACAGGCUACAAGUAUAUUACAACAAAAUCAUUAACAAACUUAAACACGGACAGAUCUGGGCUUCGAAAAAUGUUGUCAGACGCAAUAUUACACUUUCUGGGUUACCCAGAAAGUUUAUGGCCAACGUCGGUCAACGGUGUUUGACCAUGAAUAACGUGAAAUCUGAACAUGUAAUGGCUCUACUUUCUUUUUCAGAAUAAAGACCUCCUACCCGACUACGGAUCCAAAACAUCAAACAACAAACAUCAUAAACAUACACGAAUCUGUGGCGCCUGACAUUAGCUUGUCAGACCACAAACCAUGUUCUUGGGCAGUUUUAGAAAAACUCGAUUUUAAAGCAUUUUGAUGCUAUGGAUCUAUGUUAUAUCAACAUAGAUCAUCAUUAAACAUCAUCUAGCAAAGAUCUAAACACAUAAACACAAAAUCUUUCUUAUCAACUUGGAUCAAAAAUAAAAAUUAUGUUUAUACCUUUCGAAUUCAAUCUUUGAUUCUUGCUCUCCAAAUCUGAUCUAGGUGAUCAAGUGGGUGUUUAUGGAACUAAUUUGCCUAAGAAAUUUUAGAUGCUAAGAGAGAGAGAGAGAGAGUUGGUGAGAGCUAGUUGGCCAAAUGAGCAAGUUUUAUGAUUUUCUCUCUCUUGAAUCUAUAUAUAUUACUUAUAUGUUGCUUGAUCUGAGGUUGCUGCCCAUUAUAGACUGAUUUGCUGG